GGCAAGGUGGCCGAGCAGUCUAAGGUCGCCACGCCAAGGUUAAUAACCCUCAAUCUCUUCUCUUUCUCUCCCUCUCUCCCUGAGAAGUAAGAUAAAUAGUUCCGUGGUCCGAAAAGGGCGUGAGUUCGAAUGGAUCUCACCCUUGUCA